CGUAGGAUGCGAGCGUUGUCCGGAUUUAUUGGGCGUAAAGAGUUCGUAGGUGGUUCGUUAAGUUUGGUGUUAAAGACCAGGGCUCAACCUUGGGACCGCACUGAAUACUGGCGGACUGGAGUGAAGUAGAGGCAAGCGGAAUUCCCAGCGUAGCGGUGAAAUGCGUAGAUAUUGGGAAGAACACCGGUGGCGUAAGCGGCUUGCUGGGCUUUAACUGACGCUGAGGAACGAAAGCUAGGGUAGCGAAUGGGAUUAGAUACCCCAGUAGUCCUAGCCGUAAACGAUGGAUACUAGGCGUAUCGGGUAUCGACCCCUGAUGUGCCGUAGCAAACGCGAUAAGUAUCCCGCCUGAGUAGUACGGCCGCAAGGUUG
rnacentral:rRNA from 1 species